UGGGGAAUUUUGGACAAUGGGGGAAACCCUGAUCCAGCCAUCCCGCGUGUGCGAUGAAGGCCUUCGGGUUGUAAAGCACUUUUGGCAGGAAAGAAACGUCGCGGGUUAAUACCCCGCGAAACUGACGGUACCUGCAGAAUAAGCACCGGCUAACUACGUGCCAGCAGCCGCGGUAAUACGUAGGGUGCAAGCGUUAAUCGGAAUUACUGGGCGUAAAGCGUGCGCAGGCGGUUCGGAAAGAAAGAUGUGAAAUCCCAGAGCUUAACUUUGGAACUGCAUUUUUAACUACCGGGCUAGAGUGUGUCAGAGGGAGGUGGAAUUCCGCGUGUAGCAGUGAAAUGCGUAGAUAUGCGGAGGAACACCGAUGGCGAAGGCAGCCUCCUGGGAUAACACUGACGCUCAUGCACGAAAGCGUGGGGAGCAAACAGGAUUAGAUACCCUGGUAGCCCACGCCCUAAACGAUGUCAACUAGCUGUUGGGGCCUUCGGGCCUUGGUAGCGCAGCUAACGCGUGAAGUUGACCGCCUGGGGAGUACGGUC
rnacentral:rRNA from 1 species